rnacentral:tRNA from 1 species
AAUAUCGCCAAGUGGUUAAGGCAAUGGUUUUUGAUAUCAUUAUACGAGGGUUCAAAUCCUUCUAUU